CGCUGAAGACAAAAAGUGGGUUGGACUGGCGAUUUGUUGGUUGAUGCGGGAUCGGAUCGAAUAUUAUUUAUUGUGUCCAAGGGAUCGCGCGAGGUAAGGAUACAAAAAAUCCCGCUCACUAAAUAUCCGAAGGCUUAUACUUGGCCGGUCCAAAGAUAUAGUAGGCGAGAAAAUACAGCGAAAAUAUAAAAUAAAAUAGAAGAACAAUCGUUAUCGCAGGAGUAAACAGAGAAUGCUGAAUUAGGUGGUGGCACUCUCUUCCCUCACGGUUGAAUUUUUCGCUGGUGGCCGGAGUGGAUCGGUCAAUAACAACAAUACGACGACAGACAAGGAGAAAGAAGGGAGGAGAAGGUGGGCGAGGAAGGAAAAGAGGAGAGAAGUGAAAAAUCACUCAGUUCCCCAGGGCAUCGAGAAGAAACAGGAUAGAGAGAAGGGGAAAAAGAAGACGAUGGACAGGAAGGGGAGAAGUGAGGAUACAAAAGAGAGAAGAAGAGGAAGAGCGAGAAGGAAGGAGCGAGCGAGAGAGGGGACUGAAGAGGGAAAGAAGGAAAGGGCGGCAGCCACUGAAAGGCGGUGAUUGUUGACUAAGGGCCGCCAGUGUGGGGUGCGCUUUCUCCUUAUUCACCACUACGACGGUGCCACCAUACUACAGCAGGACACCUUGAUCUCUGCGUCUUACUUCGGUUGCUGUCUUAUACCGAACUGUGCAGGGGAUCUCUUGGGGUGUGUCGGCAGAAGCUCAAGUCCGCGGCGCAAGGUCAGAAGAAGAUUCAAUCCAAGUGUCGCCGUUCAAUACACCAGUGGUCAUCACUCAUCGUUCUGUCUCACUGACGCCAACUGAACACCAUUAUAGUGACAAAGGAGCUGCGUCUGAUGGACCCAUUCCCUCAUUUGACUAUUAAAACUAUUCUGCUAUGGGGCCGGUUGGCUUUAUCAAGAUUGUUCUCAGUACUUACAUAGUAAUGCUCGCGACUCGACCGCGAUACUCUAAUGUUCGACUUGUAACUACUACCUGCUUAAGAUAUGAGCAAUGAGUCAUUCGCCUUUUGUCUCAUAUUCUGGAAACAGAAAAAAGAAAAAGAAAGCCAAUACAAUACUACAUACAAUGAUUCUAGUCUUGCAUGCCAUCUGGCACUAUACUACUACAUAGUACACUAUAACUAACAUACGACUCAAUCUCCGGGAACAUGGGCCGCCCCGUGCAAGCGCCGGUCCGCCUCGGCCGGAUGAACGUCCCUAACUUUUAGCAUGUCUCCUUCCAUUCAAGAUUCCUGGUUUCUCUCCCUUGAUUUGCUGUUCACCAGCCUCGCCUCCUCUUAGUUGCAACUAUGCAAACUCAAUCAAUAUUUAAUCGGGUCCAACGGUUUGUUCGUUGGUUGUCGCUUGCGGCUUGUCCCAAGUUCCAACCUUCUGGAAUUCGGAAUGAGGACCAGCCAGUGGAGCACGAGACCUGAAUGGAGAAUCACCCAGUUUCAAGUUUUAGGACAGCCCUUUCUGGUCAUGCUCCUGAGUCGUCCUGACUCCUCAGUGCUACUUAUAAUUGCGCAUACUUGGUCCUACCUUUUUUUUCUGAAUCGGGGACUAAUGUGCUCUUCAGAGUGGACCGAAGACCCCAGCAACGAACGCUCCAGCGAUCUGCUGAAUCGACUUCCUUAAUUAAGGGGCAGGUUGGUUCUAGAAGCAAAUUCGAGUCUUCAAAGUGUCAAUCGACCCUUUGCCACCGUGCCACGACCCGUAAGUAGUUAGACUACCACGGACAAAGCUAUUAUUGUCGAUACGAGCAAAACGCGAUUCACAUUGGCUAUCGCUUCUGAAACAAGACUCUUACCGGCAGUCUUAGGCUCUGCCGUGGGAGGAUCAAGGUUAUGUCCGGUUGCUCUUGUGUCAUCUGGUAUCCUGGUGGUCAUUCCUGCGAGCCACAUGAUUCGAUGCAGUGCAGUGAUUCGCGCGCACACUCGAUGGUCGCGCUAAGAUAAUAGCUUAUCAAAUCAAUCUUGAUGAUGAUGAUGAUGAUAUGGAAGAUAGUCUUCCAAAGUUCGAAUAUCGAAUAUCUCUGUGUACUCGGUAUGAAGUGAAACCCAUGAAGAAGAGGGUCCAAACUUUCUAAGCCAAAAGGAGACUCCCACUACGUUAAUCUAUAUUAGGCUUAGUGCCAUACAACAUCCAAUAGUCGGGCGAUCCGGGCAUCUCUGGCCUUUUUUGCCAAAGAAACUCUCUCUCGGAACUUGGACACUGAACACGCGACAAAGACGCAACGACGAGACCUCAGUCGAGUCUGAGUGUUCUUUAUCUCCAUAGCUAUGACCAAUUCUAUCUAGUUUACUAGUUAUAUUGCUCCGCCUGUUACCUAAACCCCUUUCUAAUCUUGCAAGAUGCAUCCUCGCUACCCUCCUGCCAGGUCUCGCAUACUACGAUGGUUGAUCUCAUGACUGGAUUUUCAGGUCAUAUGAAUCCCAUGCUACACACCACCUCAAGCAACGUGCAGCUAUACGUACCCUACAGUACUUAUGACCAAAUUGAUCGUGUUGUAGUCAGCAAAAUCCCGCCAUCUCCUCUUGCCGCUCGACUAGCUCAAAGUGUGGAGGCACCAUCCGGACCCUCUGCUGUGGCGAAGUCAACUCUACGUCGAACAUUGGUCGCAUUAUUCCCCCUUAUUUUUCUUCUUCUGCUCCGUGACGCCGUCGCUAAAACUUCGUCUUAGACCCCGGCUCUUAGCAAAAAGCAACCAAAAAAUGAGGCUGAGCCGUGGGUCAUUGCUUCAUUUUAUUACUGUUGCAUCUCCACAGUGGCUUACGCAGCCAUACUCCGUAUGCUACAGCUUCUAGCUGCCGAUAUUGGUGUCUAGGAGGCAAUGCGUCGGUUGGUUCAAAUUCAUUACGGCUGUUGGGAUGUG
rnacentral:lncRNA from 1 species